UCCGCCUGGAUACUACGAGCAAUAGCUUGAAAUCCAAAGGACUUGGCGGUGCCUUAAUCUACCUAGAGGAGCCUGUUCUGUAACCGAUGAUCCACGUUGAACCUCACCAUUUCUGGUAAAUCCAGCCUAUAUACCGCCGUCGUCAGCUUAUCUCACUGAGAGGAGAAAAAUAAGCGCAAUUGGCUAAACCCCAAAUACGUCAGGUCGAGGUGUAGCAUAUGAAAUGGGAAGAAAUGGGCUACAUUUUCUAUUGCAAUAGAAAAUACGGAUAAGUUAUUGAAACAUAACUUUAAAGGAGGAUUUAGAAGUAAAAAAAGA
rnacentral:rRNA from 1 species